rnacentral:lncRNA from 1 species
CCCUCCAUUAGGUUCUUUAAGGAGCCCUUUAAUCUCUACUCUCCAAUCCAUUGCAUCUCCAUCUUGUAUGUAGUGGAGUUCAAUCUUUCUCGCCCUUCUUUGAAUCACGGGCAAUAUGAUUCCAUACUCACAAGUAGACUUCCAAUUCAAAACCUUUGAGUACCCUGAUGCCAUUUGGGCUAACUCAUUUGCCAUGUCGUUAUAUAUC